GACGAACGCUGGCGGCGUGCUUAACACAUGCAAGUCGAACGGAAAGGCCCUGCUUUUGUGGGGUGCUCGAGUGGCGAACGGGUGAGUAACACGUGAGUAACCUGCCCUUGACUUUGGGAUAACUUCAGGAAACUGGGGCUAAUACCGGAUAGGAGCUCCUGCUGCAUGGAGGGGGUUGGAAAGUUUCGGCGGUUGGGGAUGGACUCGCGGCUUAUCAGCUUGUUGGUGGGGUAGUGGCUUACCAAGGCUUUGACGGGUAGCCGGCCUGAGAGGGUGACCGGCCACAUUGGGACUGAGAUACGGCCCAGACUCCUACGGGGGGCAGCAGUGGGGAAUAUUACACAAUGGGCGGAAGCCUGAUGCAGCAACGCCGCGUGCGGGAUGACGGCCUUCGGGUUGUAAACCGCUUUCGCCUGUGACGAAGCGUGAGUGACGGUAAUGGGUAAAGAAGCACCGGCUAACUACGUG
rnacentral:rRNA from 1 species